rnacentral:rRNA from 1 species
AAGCGGUGGAGCAUGUGGUUAAUUCGACGCAACGCGAAGAACUUACCGAGGCUUGACAUCCCUGACGCGUAUGAAAGUACGUUUUCACCUCGGGUGACAGGGAGACAGGUGGUGCAUGGUUGUCGUCAGCUCGUGUCGUGAGAUGUUGGGUUAAGUCCCGCAACGAGCGCAACCCCUACGUUUAGUUGCUAACAGGUGAAGCUGAGCACUCUAGACGAACUGCCGUUGACAAACGGAGGAAGGUGGGGAUGACGUCAAAUCAUCAUGCCCCUUAUGUUCUGGGCUACACACGUGCUACAAUGGCCGGUACAGACGGAGGCGAAGCCGCGAGGCGGAGCAAAUCCGAAAAAGCCGGUCUCAGUUCGGAUUGCAGGCUGCAACUCGCCUGCAUGAAGUCGGAAUUGCUAGUAAUCGCGGAUCAGCACGCCGCGGUGAAUACGUUCCCGGGCCUU